rnacentral:rRNA from 1 species
UGGGGAAUCUUGCGCAAUGGGCGAAAGCCUGACGCAGCCAUGCCGCGUGAAUGAUGAAGGUCUUAGGAUUGUAAAAUUCUUUCACCGGGGACGAUAAUGACGGUACCCGGAGAAGAAGCCCCGGCUAACUUCGUGCCAGCAGCCGCGGUAAUACGAAGGGGGCUAGCGUUGCUCGGAAUUACUGGGCGUAAAGGGCGCGUAGGCGGAUCGUUAAGUCAGAGGUGAAAUCCCAGGGCUCAACCCUGGAACUGCCUUUGAUACUGGCGAUCUUGAGUAUGAGAGAGGUAUGUGGAACUCCGAGUGUAGAGGUGAAAUUCGUAGAUAUUCGGAAGAACACCAGUGGCGAAGGCGACAUACUGGCUCAUUACUGACGCUGAGGCGCGAAAGCGUGGGGAGCAAACAG